GACAGAGGGUGCAAACGUUGUUCGGAAUUACUGGGCGUAAAGCGCGUGUAGGCGGCCCUGCAAGUCGGGUGUGAAAUCCCAUGGCUCAACCGUGGAAGUGCACUCGAAACUGCAGGGCUAGAGUCCUGGAGAGGAAGGUGGAAUGCUUGGUGUAGAGGUGAAAUUCGUAGAUAUCAAGCGGAACACCGGUGGCGAAGGCGGCCUUCUGGACAGUGACUGACGCUGAGACGCGAAAGCGGUGGGGAGCAAACAGG
rnacentral:rRNA from 1 species